rnacentral:rRNA from 1 species
GAGCGGGGGCGAGGGAUUAGGAUUGAGGGCUUAAGAAAUAGGUGAAAAAACCUAAUAGGUAAGUCUUGAAUCCUAAUUCCUCGCUUUAGCGGCGGACGGGUGAGUAACGCGUGAAUAAUCUGGCCUAUUGAGGGGGAUAACACAGGGAAACUUGUGCUGAAACCGCAUAAAAUAUAUUGUGGGCAUCCAUGAAAUAUCAAAUAUUAAUAGCGAUAGGAUGAGUUCGCGUCUGAUUAGCUAGUUGGGGGUGUAACGGACCACCAAGGCGACGAUCAGUAGCCGUACUGAGAGGUAGAACGGCCACAUUGGGACUGAGACACGGCCCAGACUCCUACGGGAGGCAGCAGUGGGGAAUAUUGCGCAAUGGGGGAAACCCUGACGCAGCAACGCCGCGUGAAGGAAGAAGGCCUUCGGGUUGUAAACUUUUGUCUUUGGGGAAUAAGAAAUGAAGGUACCCAAGGAGGAAGCCACGGCUAACUACGUGCCAGCAGCCGCGGUAAUACGUAGGUGGCAAGCGUUAUCCGGAAUUACUGGGUGUAAAGGGUGCGUAGGCGGGCUUUUAGGUCCGAUGUGAAAUUCCGAGGCUUAACCUCGGAACUGCAUUAGAAACCGGAAGUCUUGAGUGUCGGAGAGGUAAGCGGAAUUCCCAGUGUAGCGGUGAAAUGCGUAGAUAUUGGGAGGAACACCAGUGGCGAAGGCGGCUUACUGGACGAUAACUGACGCUGAGGCACGAAAGUGUGGGGAGCAAACAGGAUUAGAUACCCUGGUAGUCCACACUGUAAACGAUGGAUACUAGGUGUGGGAGGUAUCGAACCCUUCCGUGCCGGAGCAAACGCAAUAAGUAUCCCACCUGGGGAGUACGGUCGCAAGACUGAAACUCAAAGGAAUUGACGGGGGCCCGCACAAGCAGUGGAGUAUGUGGUUUAAUUCGAAGCAACGCGAAGAACCUUACCAGGUCUUGACAUCCCAAGAAGACGCAAGAGAUUGUGUUGUGCCUUCGGGAACUUGGAGACAGGUGGUGCAUGGUUGUCGUCAGCUCGUGUCGUGAGAUGUUGGGUUAAGUCCCGCAACGAGCGCAACCCUUAUUGUCAGUUGCCAUCAUUAAGUUGGGAACUCUGACGAGACUGCCGUUGAUAAAACGGAGGAAGGUGGGGACGACGUCAAAUCAUCAUGCCCCUUAUGACCUGGGCUACACACGUACUACAAUGGCCGCAAACAAAGCGAAGCAAGACAGUGAUGUGGAGCAAAUCGCAAAAAGCGGUCUCAGUUCAGAUUGCAGGCCGAAACUCGCCUGUAUGAAGAUGGAAUUGCUAGUAAUCGCGAAUCAGAAUGUCGCGGUGAAUACGUUCCCGGGC